AAAAGAUCAAAAACGAUAGGUUCCACCGAGAUUUGAACUCGGGUCGCAGGAUUCAAAGUCCUGAGUGCUAACCGCUACACCAUGGAACCGACGGCG